rnacentral:rRNA from 1 species
AAACCACCCACCACCCACCUCCCGCACGAACACAGCCCCACUCCACCUCCACCUUCUUCCGCGCUCCCCGCCCCCCGGGUCCCAGCCUCCUUCCCCCGACCUCCUUCCUUGCGCGUCGCCGCCGCGCUGCCGUGACCCUGCCGCCGCAGCACCCCACCCACCAUUACCUGCCGCCGCCCACCACCACCUACCGGGAUCUGGCCGGCAACCACGGGAUCGAUCCCGACCACCACGGAUUCCCACCACACCACCACCUCCACCUCCACCUCCCGUCCCGCACACCCCAAAAUCCCGGCCACUGCCGCCUCGCCUCCUCCUCCUCCUGCCCGGCGCGGCCCUCCUCCCACCUGGCGCCGCCCCGCCUCCUCCUCCCGCCCGGUGCAGCCCCGCCUCAUCCUCCUCCCGCCUGGCGCGGCCUCCUUCCACCUGGCGCCGCCUCGUCUCCUCCUCCCGGCCGGCGCGCCUCCGUCCCGCAGCGCCGCCCUGGCGAUGGCCCCGGCCCCGCCCCACUCCAGCCACGGCAGUUUUUUCUACUACUGUGAGUGUGUGUGCAGUCCACCGGCCCCCUCCUCUGCUUCAGAUCCCGUGCAACCUUCCGAUGCAGUUCGUCGCACCAACCCCCUGCAGCUCUCUCCUCCCCAAUCCAUGGACCCCGCGCCGGAUCCGGGUUCUUCCCUCGUGCAUCGUCCUCUUCUCGCACCGAUCCCCGCCAUGGUCGCGCGGAUCCCCGAGAGUUCGAGGUGUGCCACCCCCGCCGUGGUCCUGCCUACUUCCCCUCCUUCCCUGCUACACCAGCAGGGCGUCGGUCACAGGAUCUGCCUCCCCCUAUUUGCAGCUCCUUUGUUUCUUUUUUGCAGCUCGCUAAGUAUAAUUUUGAAGUUCAGUGAGAUCCAUGCGCGCCGGAUCACGCGUUGCCGACCCCCCUGCAUGCCUCCUCGCAUGCGAGGUGCUGUGCUGUGUAGGGAGGUGUCUACACCAGCGUCGGCGCCCGUCCACCAUGGUGAGUUGCUACCACCCGCGGCUCCACGCUGCCCUCCCUCCACUCCUCUCCACGGCAGCAAGCAGUCCCCCUGAGCGGCGCGUGCAGCUCACGGCGCUCUAGCUAUGCACUUGUUUGCUUGUGUUUCCGAUAGAUGCAUGUGAAAUUCGUGGAGAAAAGCCUCGUAGUUUUUGAUGGCUCAUAGCUGAUUGAUUUCUUUUAAGGCAAUAAUAGUAGUAAUUGAAUUGUCAGUCCUGGUUCUUAAUGUUAAGUCCAACUUGAGGGGAAGUACUUAUACAAUUUUGUUUUGUUCUCAAACAGAUUUGAGGAGUUUGUAUGUCACCUUUGCUCACCAGUAGUUCUGCAGAUUAACUUUACUGUCUGUCCACACCACUGGGUUGGGUUAGUUUCUCUGCAACCUGAGUAUCUUGUAAGAAGAAUGCAGAAAGGGGAACAACUAGUGCCUCGGCGAUGGUGAACUAGCACAUAAAGCUUAUUUAGAUUUUUGAGCAUACAACCAUGUUCCGUUUAUUCCAUUUUUGUGCUUUCCUUUUAAACUGUUAUGAUGUUUUGGUUCAAGUUUAACACAUGCUAGAGUGCACGCAUGUUCUUUUGUAAGGAACUAAAACUUAUGCAUGUGAUACAUACAAGAAGGAAGAUGGAAAUGGGACUUUUAAGGUUUGCGUAUGAAGGGAAAUUUAGUUUUCUGUAGAUUUACCUCAGUUACAUUAAAUGUUCUUUUAACAAUUGGCAAAGUCCUGAUGCUGUUAUGUAUCUACUUCUCUCUUCUGUAGUUGUUGCAUUUAAUUGCUUGUCCAGCUCUCUUAUGUCCCCGUCAUCGCCCACAUCGGAGGCUCUGCCAUCGCUGGAUCCCGGCAUCCCCGGGCCCUGCAGGAGGGAUACCGACAUCAACGUCCCCUUCCCUGACCAUCUAGAAGGAGGUGGUCGUCCCUGUCUGUCGCUGCAGUCCGCACGGUGGGCGUCCGCAGCACAUCGCCGACAAAGGUGGAUCCAAGGGGCACCCGUGCAGUCCACUGCGUGGGUGCACGCAGCAUGCCGGCACUCCCCUUUGCAGUCCAUAAUGUGGGUUCAGCCCAUAGCGGCAUGCAGCUCUGCCCAUGGGCAUAUGAAGUACGCUAUGACGAGCAUGUAUACAUGGUUUCGGGAGCAAAACAUCAGCGUGCGAUUCAGUGUUUUUUUGCUGCAGUUCACUACUCAUUCGUACCACUUUACUCUUUUUUUAAUGGGAAUCUUCGGUGCAAUGAAUUAUUCUAUCCGCUAUUUUUGAUGUUCAGUUUACUAGUUUUUGCAGGAGAUGGCGGACAAAAAAAGAGGGAGAAAUGAGUCUCAAGCACAUACUGCGUGAGCACCUCGGUUAGCCGGCGAUCUGCAGUAUGUUGAAUGGUAUCACUCCAGUUCACAUCGCCCCAUGGCCGACUCCGGCGGCCUGCUUUGGUCGCCUUCUUGCUGCAGUUUUGCUAUUGCACGACAUACGAUUCAAUAGCGCCAGUAGGGUCGCGUGGGGAGGACUACACCUUCAGGAGGUGGUGUUUGCGAACAAUCCAGAGGCCCAAUUCAUUUUUGAAAAAUUUGUUUGAGACUUGUUAUGUAAACUGCAGAAGCUUGUUUGUAAAAUAGUUACCCUAAUGUAGUUCGUUGUAAAUCCUAAAGAGGCUCAUUUUGUGGGCAAGUAAGACAAAAAAAUCCACGAGAGGUUCACUUCUUUUCC